CUCUCAGUCCAGAAAAACAAUGUCUGAGACACGUGGCUCUGAUAUCUGCUUAAACGUGAGAUGCUGGGUCCCCCGGUGAACACGUGACAGAGUCUCCGCCAUGGGAUGAAACUACCAACCUCCUGCCUUUCUUUGGAGUAAAGGCAGAGCCACUGAUGAGCUGCUCAGUGUGGAGAUGAUGGUCAUGCUGCAGGCUGACUGAAACAGUGUGAGCAGCUGGCCUGUAGGGGGCAUUACACGACCAGGAACAAAGACUGAUGUCAGUGUUGCCUGACUGGUGUGGAGAACUGGAGUCCACCUGCUGGGAUGUGACCAGGCUGUCAGACACUUCUGCUCAGCCUGAGUUUGACAUUUAAACUGUCAUUGAUUACAUCAACUUUACAGGAAUGCAAGAACUGAUGGUUGAAUAAAAUUUGAAAAA